rnacentral:tRNA from 16 species
GGAGUGGCGCAGUGGCUAGCGUGUUGGGCUCAUAACCCAAAGGUCCGUGGAUCGAAAC